rnacentral:rRNA from 1 species
AUUGAACGCUGGCGGCAGGCCUAACACAUGCAAGUCGAGCGAGCGGCGGACGGGUGAGUAAUGUCUGGGAAACUGACUGAUGGAGGGGGAUAACUACUGGAAACGGUAGCUAAUACCCCAUACCAUCAGAUGUGUCCAGAUGUGAUUUGCUAGUAGGGGGGGUAACGGCUCACCUAGGCGACGAUCCCUAGCUGGUCUGAGAGGAUGACCAGCCACACUGGAACUGAGACACGGGCCAGACUCCUACGGGAGGCAGCAGUGGGGAAUAUUGCACAAUGGGGGCAAGCCUGAUGCAGCCAUGCCGCGUGUGUGAAGAAGGCCUUCGGGUUGUAAAGCACUUUCAGCGGGGAGGCGUUACCCGCAGAAGAAGCACCGGCUAACUCCGUGCCAGCCGCCGCGGUAAUUC